rnacentral:lncRNA from 1 species
AAUUAGAGUCUAGUUCUAUGAAGUAUUUCAUGCAAAAGAGAAGUCAGGUGAGUUUCCAAAAAAAAACUGACGUGCAUGUCUUAAUUAAAAAUAAAAGUAUAUAAAAAAGCACCAGAACGCCAUAUUUUGAAAAUACAUUUAAAAUAGAAAUCACGCCGGUUUUUUUAGAAAAACUAAGAGAUUUGAAUAUAUAAAAUUAAAAAUUUAAAAGGACUUUUAAAAAAAAAUUGAAAAUAUUAAUGCAAAAUAUAUUACGUCUUAGUUAGACCAUGUAACCAGGUUAAUACUAAUAAAAAAUAAAGAAAAAAACAUUAACAAAGAAAAAAAGUGAAGCUGGAAAGACUCAAAUUGAGAAAUAGUAAUUAAACCAUUGAAGAAAAAAGUAAAAUGCAGUAACUGAGAUUCAAGGCAAGCUCCCUUAUAGCUAUAUUUUCUUGAUUUUUAAAAAACCCCGAGGAAUAGGUUGCAUAUAUAUUGUCGCGGCUGAAAAAUCACAGAGUCACCACCAUAUUUUAUUUGUUAAUAAGGAACAUGAAGAUAAUGAUAAAAC